GCUCAGGACGAACGCUGGCGGCGUGCCUAAUACAUGCAAGUCGAACGAACUCUGGUAUUGAUUGGUGCUUGCAUCAUGAUUUACAUUUGAGUGAGUGGCGAACUGGUGAGUAACACGUGGGAAACCUGCCCAGAAGCGGGGGAUAACACCUGGAAACAGAUGCUAAUACCGCAUAACAACUUGGACCGCAUGGUCCGAGNUUGAAAGAUGGCUUCGGCUAUCACUUUUGGAUGGUCCCGCGGCGUAUUAGCUAGAUGGUGGGGUAACGGCUCACCAUGGCAAUGAUACGUAGCCGACCUGAGAGGGUAAUCGGCCACAUUGGGACUGAGACACGGCCCAAACUCCUACGGGAGGCAGCAGUAGGGAAUCUUCCACAAUGGACGAAAGUCUGAUGGAGCAACGCCGCGUGAGUGAAGAAGGGUUUCGGCUCGUAAAACUCUGUUGUUAAAGAAGAACAUAUCUGAGAGUAACUGUUCAGGUAUUGACGGUAUUUAACCAGAAAGCCACGGCUAACU
rnacentral:rRNA from 2 species